UACGGAGGGUGCAAGCGUUAUCCGGAUUCACUGGGUUUAAAGGGUGCGUAGGUGGGUCUGUAAGUCAGUGGUGAAAUCCCCGAGCUUAACUUGGGAACUGCCGUUGAUACUAUAGAUCUUGAAUAUCGUGGAGGUAAGCGGAAUAUGUCAUGUAGCGGUGAAAUGCUUAGAUAUGACAUAGAACACCAAUUGCGAAGGCAGCUUACUACACGAUCAUUGACACUGAGGCACGAAAGCGUGGGGAGCAAACAGGAUUAGAUACCCUGGUAGUCCACGCCCUAAACUAUGGAUACUCGACAUCAGCGAUACACAGUUGGUGUCUGAGCGAAAGCAUUAAGUAUCCCACCUGGGAAGUACGAUCGCAAGAUUGAA
rnacentral:rRNA from 1 species